rnacentral:tRNA from 1 species
UAAUGGGGAGAAUAGUUCCAAUGGUAGAACAAUGGUCUCCAAAACCACAGGUUAAGGGUUCGAAUCCCUUUUCUCCUG